rnacentral:rRNA from 1 species
AAAUGAAUAGACGGGGACCCGCACAAGCAGCGGAGCAUGUGGUUUAAUUCGAAGCAACGCGAAGAACCUUACCAAGACUUGACAUUACUUGACCGCCCUAGAGAUAGGGUUUCGGUAGCAAUACCGCAGGUGGACAGGUGGUGCAUGGUUGUCGUCAGCUCGUGUCGUGAGAUGUUCGGUUAAGUCCGGCAACGAGCGCAACCCUUAUGAUAUGUUGCCAAUAUUAAGUUAGGAACUCAUAUCAGACUGCCGUGGACAACACGGAGGAAGGUGGGGAUGACGUCAAAUCAUCAUGCCCCUUACGUCUUGGGCUACACACGCGCUACAAUGGCUGUUACAAAGAGCAGCAAACCGGUAACGGCAAGCGAAUCUCAGAAAAACAGUCUCAGUUCAGAUUGUGGGCUGCAACCCGCCCACAUGAAGUAGGAGUUGCUAGUAAUCCCGAAUCAGAAUGUCGGGGUGAAUGCGUUCCCGGGUCUUGUACACACCGCCCGU